AACGUACGCUGGCGGCACGCCUAACACAUGCAAGUCGAACGCAGUAGCAAUACUGAGUGGCAGACGGGUGAGUAACAUGUGGGAAUCUGCCUUGUGGUUCAGGACAACAUUGGGAAACCGAUGCUAAUACUGGAUAAGCCCUUACGGGGAAAGUUUUAAUGCCAUAAGAUGAGCCCGCAUUUGAUUAGUUAGUUGGUGAGGUAAUGGCUCACCAAGACAAUGAUCAAUAGCUGAUCUGAGAGGAUGAUCAGCCACACUGGGACUGAGACACGGCCCAGACUCCUACGGGAGGCAGCAGUGGGGAAUCUUGCACAAUGGAGGAAACUCUGAUGCAGCGAUGCCGCGUGAGUGAAGAAGGCCUUUGGGUUGUAAAGCUCUUUUGUAGGGGAAGAUAAUGACUGUACCCUAAGAAUAAGGUCCGGCUAACUUCGUGCCAGCAGCCGCGGUAAUACGAAGGGACCUAGCGUAGUUCGGAAUUACUGGGCGUAAAGCGCGCGUAGGCCGUUGAGUUAGUUAAUUGUGAAAUCCCAAAGCUUAACUUUGGAACUGCAAUUAAAACUGCUCGACUAGAGUUUGAUAGAGGAAAGCGGAAUACAUAGUGUAGAGGUGAAAUUCGUAG
rnacentral:rRNA from 1 species